AACGCACAUUGCGCCCCCUGGUAUUCCGGGGGGCAUGCCUGUCCGAGCGUCAUUACAACCCUCAAGCCUAGCUUGGUGUUGGGCUCCGCCGCCUGGCGGGCCCUAAAGUCAGUGGCGGUGCUGUCCAGCUCCGAGCGUAGUAAAUCUUCUCGCUCUGGAGGUCUGGGCAUGUGCCUGCCAGCAACCCCCCAAUUUUAUCAGGUUGACCUCGGAUCAGGUAGGGAUACCCGCUGAACUUAA
rnacentral:misc_RNA from 1 species